rnacentral:rRNA from 1 species
AUGGCUUUUGUGCAACGUCGAAAGGGUCCUGAUGUAGUGGGAUCGUUCGGAUUGUUACAACCUCUAGCAGAUGGUUUGAAAUUGAUUCUAAAAGAACCUAUUUCACCAAGUAGUGCUAGUUUCUCCCUUUUUAGAAUGGCUCCAGUGGCUACAUUUAUGUUAAGUCUGGUCGCUUGGGCCGUUGUACCUUUUGAUUAUGGUAUGGUAUUGUCAGAUCCGAACAUAGGGCUACUUUAUUUGUUUGCCAUAUCUUCGCUAGGUGUUUAUGGAAUAAUUAUAGCAGGUUGGUCUAGUAAGAUGGGGGGCGUCCGUUCGGUCGCCUAUGAUAUACAGACCAAUUGGUCAAAAAUGGGUUUGUGCCGCAGGUGUUGA